UACGUAGGGGGCGAGCGUUGUCCGGAUUUAUUGGGCGUAAAGAGCUCGUAGGCGGUUUGGUAAGUCGGAUGUGAAAUCUCCAGGCUCAACCUGGAGGGGUCAUUCGAGACUGCUAUGACUAGAGUUCGGUAGAGGAGUGUGGAAUUCCUGGUGGAGCGGUGAAAUGCGCAGAUAUCAGGAGGAACACCCGUAGCGAAGGCGGCACUCUGGGCCGAUACUGACGCUGAGGAGCGAAAGCGUGGGGAGCGAACAGG
rnacentral:rRNA from 1 species